rnacentral:tRNA from 3 species
UCCUCGUUAGUAUAGUGGUGAGUAUCCCCGCCUGUCACGCGGGAGACCGGGGUUCGAUUCCUCGACGGGGAG